UACAGAGGGGGGCAAGCGUUAUUCGGAAUUAUUGGGCGUAAAAGGGCGCGUAGGCGGCUUGGCAAGUGGAUGGUGAAAAUCCCCUCGGCUUAACCGAGGAACUGCCGUCCAAAACUGCUUUUGCUUGAGGCCGGGAGAGGCGAGUGGAAAUUCCCCAGUGUAGCGGUGAAAAUGCGUAGAUAUUGGGAAGAACACCGGUGGCGAAGGCGGCGACCUGGUCCGUGACUGACGCUGAGGCGCGAAAGCGUGGGGGAGCAAAACAGG
rnacentral:rRNA from 1 species